CCGGACUCCCACCUGUCUUGAUUUCCCUGGGACAGUCCCUAUUUUAGGGUAUAGUCCCGCGAAAAUCGAGAUAGAUGGGAGGCCGGUAACAAC